rnacentral:rRNA from 1 species
UUAUGGAGAGUUUGAUCCUGGCUCAGGACGAACGCUGGCGGCGCGCCUCAUACAUGCAAGUGGAGCGACGGACCAGGGCUUGCCCUGGGGCCAAGCCGCGAACGGGUGAGUAACACGUGGGUAACCUGCCCCGAAGACCGGGACAACCCGAGGAAACUCGGGCUAAUACCGGAUGUGCUCGCCGCGCACAAGCGCGGCGAGUAAAGGAAGCUUCGGCCUCCGCUUUGGGAGGGGCCCGUGGCCCAUUAGCUUGUUGGUGUGGUAACGGCUCACCAAGGCAACGAUGGGUAGCUGGUCUAAGAGGACGGUCAGCCACACUGGGACUGAGACACGGCCCAGACUCCUACGGGAGGCAGCAGUAGGGAAUCUAGCGCAAUGCGCGAAAGCGUGACGCAGCGACGCCGCGUGGGGGAAGAAGGCCUUCGGGUUGUAAACCCCUUUCAGGAGGGACGAAGGUGCGGCGGCGAACAGCCGUCCGUACUGACGGUACCUCCAGAAGAAGCCCCGGCUAACUACGUGCCAGCAGCCGCGGUAAUACGUAGGGGGCUAGCGUUGUCCGG